UGUUAUUCGGUGGAUUUUGAGUUGUUUUAUAAUUUCUUUUACCAUUUAGAGGUUUUGUUGUUUUAUGGGUUGUUUAACCUUAUUUGGUGUAGUGUAAUGGAGGAACUUGAUCAACAGAGUGAAGUUUCUCAUAGCAGGAAGAAGGGCAUAAUUCAAUUAAAAGAGGAGUAAGGCCAGGUUAUUGUUGAUGUUGGGGUGUUGAAAGAAGAGCUUUGUUAUGGUAUGGUCAAAGAAGUUGUUCGGAAAUUUGGUGUGCCAUUUAAUAAGCAAAAUAGAGGAGAUAAGGAG